AGAGUUUGAUCAUGGCUCAGGAUAAACGCUGGCGGCGCGCCUAACACAUGCAAGUCGAACGAAGCAGUAGCAAUACUGACUGAGUGGCGGAAGGGUGAGUAACACGUAGGAAUCUGCCUCAUCGGAGGGAACAACCAGUCGAAAGAUUGGCUAAUACCCAAAAGGAUUGGCGACAAUCAGAGUCGAAAGGCCUGGUGAGAGGAGCCUGCGGCCCAUCAGCUAGUUGGCAGGGUAAUGGCCUACCAAGGCAACGACGGGUAGGGGGUCUGAGUGGACGUCCCCCCACACUGGAACUGAAACACGGUCCAGACGCCUGCGGGUGGCAGCAGUGAGGAAUAUUGGUCAAUGGGCGAAAGCCCGAACCAGCAACGCCGCGUGGAGGAUGAAGGUUUUCGGACUGUAAACUUCUUUUCGGGGAGACGAGAAAGGACGGUAUCCCCGGAAUAAGCCACGGCAAACUACGUG
rnacentral:rRNA from 1 species